ACGCACGCUGGCGGCGUGCUUAACACCUGCAAGUCGCACGGAAAGGCCCUGCUUUUGUGGGGUGCUCGAGUGGCGAACGGGUGAGUAACACGUGAGUAACCUGCCCUUGACUUUGGGAUAACUUCAGGAAACUGGGGCUAAUACCGGAUAGGAGCUCCUGCUGCAUGGUGGGGGUUGGAAAGUUUCGGCGGUUGGGGAUGGACUCGCGGCUUAUCAGCUUGUUGGUGGGGUAGUGGCUUACCAAGGCUUUGACGGGUAGCCGGCCUGAGAGGGUGACCGGCCACAUUGGGACUGAGAUACGGCCCAGACUCCUACGGGAGGCAGCAGUGGGGAAUAUUGCACAAUGGGCGGAAGCCUGAUGCAGCAACGCCGCGUGCGGGAUGACGGCCUUUGGGUUGUAAACCGCUUUCGCCUGUGACGAAGCGUGAGUGACGGUAAUGGGUAAAGAAGCACCGGCUAACUACGUG
rnacentral:rRNA from 1 species